UACGUAGGUGGCAAGCGUUAUCCGGAAUUAUUGGGCGUAAAGCGCGCGCAGGUGGUUCCUUAAGUCUGAUGUGAAAGCCCCCGGCUCAACCGGGGAGGGUCAUUGGAAACUGGGGAACUUGAGUGUAGAAGAGGAAAGUGGAAUUCCACGUGUAGCGGUGAAAUGCGUAGAGAUGUGGAGGAACACCAGUGGCGAAGGCGACUUUCUGGUCUAUAACUGACACUGAGGCGCGAAGCGUGGGAGCAAACAGG
rnacentral:rRNA from 1 species